rnacentral:lncRNA from 1 species
GAGGAUGAAAAUUAUUACUGCAUAUGUAUAUAUAUUUCCAUUAAUUAAUCAAGCAACAAAUUAAGGAUAAAAAUUAUACAUAGCAUAUAUGAAAUCAAAAACUGACCAGUCGUCCAAUCAAUGUGAUCCACGUAUGUAAUAACGAGUAGACUGAAAUCCAUGAUCUCCGAUCAGACCACAACAUGAUGAUCUCCUUCAUUUCUAUAUUACAGACAGACUGACUCCAGACGUUAAAUCGAUACUAGAAUUAGUUACUGGCUAUAGAUACAUUGAAAUUGGUUUAUCCGUUCAGGCAUAUCAGAGUAGAUGCAGAUAUGAAACUUGAGCAAUGGCAGAUAACGCCAGAUAGGGCCAUGCAACAAGAGCGAGAGUGGAUGAGCAGCCGCUGUCACCACCAGCCGCUGGUCCAGGUGCACCACCACCCGUGCUUCCCCCACCACUGCCUCCUCCUCCUCCCCUACCUCCUCCUCCUCCUCCUCCUUCGCCUCCUUCCCCACCUCCUCCUCCUCCUCCUUCGCCACCGCCUCCACCUCCUCCUCCUCCUUCGCCACCGCCUCCACCGCCACCUGGUGCCCCUACUGAUGAUAGGAGGAGGCAAAUGAGGGUAAGGACCAGUAUCAUUUUGACUAGCCGCUCCAUUUUUUCUUCAGAGAAAGAGGGAUUUGAUCAACCCCACUUGAUUCUUUGUUCUAUUUAUGGUACACCAGAGUGAAUUUACCUCAUUACUAAAAAAAAAUAAUAAUAAUAAUAAAAUUGCAC